UUUAAUAUUAAAGUUCACCAAUUAUUUUGAACCGACUUUUGCAUUUCGUUUCGUUCUGUUCUUUGUUUUCCAUUGUGACGCGAACAUUAUUUAUUUAUAGGUCUUCACGCAAUGUUUCGAAUAAAGAAUAGCGCCGACAUUGCUCCAUCCGAGUAAAAAGUGAACUCUAGCUUUAAAUUCUGAAAGUGGAGAACACUCAAAUGAAACCCCUUCUACGUGCAUUAAACAUUUGACGUGUACAUUGAAGUCCAGUAGUGGAAUGAAUUGCUCUAUGGGGUAGCUUCUGUCCUUAGACUUUGUUUGUGCUCGGACCUCUUCACAUUGAUAUAAGUUCAGGUCGGCUCAGAAAUCUUAAAAAAAAAUUUCAUUUGAAGUGUGUUGCAGAACUUCAUUAUUGAUUUCAUCCAUUGAAUGGUUCAAUUGAUCAUUAUCGAUUCGACUUGUUAAUAAACUUCCUAUGAAAUAAACGUCAAUUGAACUAUCGACAAACAACAAUCGUCGAAUUUACAUUUUUAAGACAAACACGAAUUUUCUUCGAGUAUAUAGUUUUAAGGGAUUUCAUUUCUGUUUACUACAGUCUUAGUUGUCGCACUUGCAUUGCUUUUCUAGGUUAUCCAAUCCUUUUGAGUGCAGUCUGAAGUGCUACAGAAAGUGUACAUACAAAUCAAAUUAGUUUAAGUGCUGCAAACACCAGCCACGGCUCGGAACCUGGACUACGACUGCGACUACGACUACGGCUCCGGCUAUGGCUCGGAUGGCGAGUACGGCUCCGCCUACGGAUUCUUGGCUGUGCAAGCUCAACCAGUCAACUUGAAUCGAUUUGAAAGCGCCAACUCAUGUAGCCAACGCACAACCCACUGUGCUCCAGUUUAAUCUAUCUCGGACUCACUGGCUGGCUGACUCACUGAGUGACAUGUCUGUCAGCCUGUCUUUGAGCGUGUGUAGCUCUGUCGGUUUCCCUCUCUCUAUU